rnacentral:rRNA from 3 species
CCUGGCGGCAGUAGCGCGGUGGUCCCACCUGACCCCAUGCCGAACUCAGAAGUGAAACGCCGUAGCGCUGAUGGUAGUGUGGGGUCUCCCCAUGCGAGAGUAGGGAACUGCCAGGC